rnacentral:misc_RNA from 2 species
CCGAGUUUACAACUCCCAAACCCCAUGUGAACAUACCUGUUUCGUUCCCUCGGCGGUGUCCGGCAACGGCCCGCCAGAGGACCCAACAAACUCUUUUGAAUUUUUCAGUAUCUUCUGAGUAAAAAACAAAUAAAUCA